AGUGGGGAAAACAUCAUUGGAAAAUAUGUGGUUGAGAGACUGGCACUAGUGAGUCGCUCAAGUUGUGGCGGGAAAUACAAAAUAAACAAAGCAGCAAAAUGGCGGACUUUGCUUGCAAACCUUAUAACCAAUGCUUAUAACUCAAAGCUCAAUGAACUAAACAUUUUGAAGUGCUUUCAUUGCAAAAGUCUAACAUGUCUAAAUAAAUAUUCUGGCAGCUAUAAGCAUCUUUCUGUCUUAUUUUACGAAGGAAUUCCAAUUAAAUGUUACGAUGACGUUAGUCAAAGAAGAAAAUUUGUCGUUUAUGUUGAAGCGAAAAUGCGUAUUUGUCCCAGCACACUGUCGUGCUACAAGAAAAUCAUGGCUACGUCAUGCCAGGUGCUAGAGACUGGCCUACAUCACAGAACCUUUCAUCGUGUUCUCAGCCAUUCUGCUGUUUGAGGAUUUUAAUUGCAGCAACAUUUUACAAUGGGAACACAAAAGAAGACCUUGGUCUCACCUAUUGGAUCUCAGUGGAUAGCGCCUUAUAUGGCAUCUAAGAGCCGAGCAAAGACGAACUGGCAAGUGUGAAAACAAACAGCACAUCAGGGUUUUAUUUUGGCACAGACGUAAUCAAUCAUUAACUGUUUGAUUUACAGAUAACACGCCUUUAAUUUUUUCAAAUUUUGUUACUGUAUGUGUGUACCGCUUGACUCUAAGAUUUGUCGUCAACCUUUAUGUUUUCGGUUUUCUUAAAGUCAUAAAACAAGGUCUCGAAGCGAGUUGCAAA